GACGAACGCUGGCGGCGUGCCUAAUACAUGCAAGUCGAGCGAAGUUUUUCUGGUGCUUGCACUGGAAAAACUUAGCGGCGAACGGGUGAGUAACACGUAAAGAACCUGCCUCAUAGACUGGGACAACUAUUGGAAACGAUAGCUAAUACCGGAUAACAGUAUUUCUCGCAUGAGAGAUAUUUAAAAGUUGGUUAUGCUAACACUAUGAGAUGGCUUUGCGGUGCAUUAGCUAGUUGGUGGGGUAAAGGCCCACCAAGGCGACGAUGCAUAGCCGACCUGAGAGGGUGAUCGGCCACACUGGGACUGAGACACGGCCCAGACUCCUACGGGAGGCAGCAGUAGGGAAUCUUCCGCAAAGGGCGAAAGCCUGACGGAGCAACGCCGCGUGAGUGAAGAAGGAUUUCGGUUCGUAAAGCUCUGUUGUUAGGGAAGAAUGGAUAUGUAGUAACUAUACAUGUAAGAGACGGUACCUAACCAGAAAGCCACGGCUAACUACGUG
rnacentral:rRNA from 1 species